GACGAACGCUGGCGGCAUGCCUAAUACAUGCAAGUCGAGCGAACAGAUGAAGUGCUUGCACUUCUGACGUUAGCGGCGAACGGGUGAGUAACACGUAAGGAAUCUACCUAUAAGCGGGGGAUAACAUUCGGAAACGGGUGCUAAUACCGCAUAAUAUCUUCUUCCGCAUGGAAGAAGAUUGAAAGACGGCUCUGCUGUCACUUAUAGAUGACCUUGCGGUGCAUUAGUUAGUUGGUGGGGUAAUGGCCUACCAAGACGAUGAUGCAUAGCCGACCUGAGAGGGUGAUCGGCCACAUUGGGACUGAGACACGGCCCAAACUCCUACGGGAGGCAGCAGUAGGGAAUCUUCCGCAAUGGGCGAAAGCCUGACGGAGCAAUGCCGCGUGGGUGAAGAAGGCCUUCGGGUCGUAAAACUCUGUUAUAAGAGAAGAACAAAUUGUAGAGUAACUGCUACAGUCUUGACGGUAUCUUAUCAGAAAGCCACGGCUAACUACGUGCCAGCCGCCACGGUAA
rnacentral:rRNA from 1 species